rnacentral:rRNA from 1 species
UGGGGAAUAUUGGACAAUGGGGGCAACCCUGAUCCAGCAACGCCGCGUGGAGGACGAAGGUCUUCGGAUUGUAAACUCCUGUCAGAGGGGACGAAGGUUGCGGGGUUAACAGCCGCGUAACUUGACGGUACUCUCAGAGGAAGCCCCGGCUAACUCUGUGCCAGCAGCCGCGGUAAUACAGAGGGGGCUAGCGUUAUUCGGAAUUAUUGGGCGUAAAGGGCGCGUAGGCGGCCUGAUGUGUCUACGGUGAAAUCCCUCGGCUCAACCGAGGAACUGCCGUGGAAACUGUCGGGCUCGAGGCCGGGAGAGGGUGGUGGAAUUCCCAGUGUAGCGGUGAAAUGCGUAGAUAUUGGGAGGAACACCGGUGGCGAAGGCGGCCACCUGGACCGGUUCUGACGCUGAGGCGCGAAAGCGUGGGGAGCAAA